AGUGAACGCUGGCGGUAGGCCUAACACAUGCAAGUCGAACGGCAGCACAGUAAGAGCUUGCUCUUACGGGUGGCGAGUGGCGGACGGGUGAGGAAUACAUCGGAAUCUACUUUUUCGUGGGGGAUAACGUAGGGACACUUACGCUAAUACAGCAUAUGACCUACGGGUGAAAGCAGGGGAUCUUCGGACCUUGCGCGAUUGAAUGAGCCGAUGUCGGAUUAGCUAGUUGGCGAGGUAAAGGCCCACCAAGGCGACGAUCCGUAGCUGGUCUGAGAGGAUGAUCAGCCACACUGGAACUGAGACACGGUCCAGACUCCUACGGGAGGCAGCAGUGGGGAAUAUUGGACAAUGGGCGCAAGCCUGAUCCAGCAAUACCGCGUGAGUGAAGAAGGCCUUCGGGUUGUAAAGCCCUUUUGUUGGGAAAGAAAAGCAGCAGGUUAAUACCCCGCUGUUCUGACGGUACCCAAAGAGUAAGCACCGGCUAACUUCGUG
rnacentral:rRNA from 1 species